rnacentral:rRNA from 1 species
ACUCCUACGGGAGGCAGCAGUGGGGAAUAUUGCACAAUGGGGAAACCCUGAUGCAGCCAUGCCGCGUGUGUGAAGAAGGCCUUCGGUUGUAAAGCACUUUCAGUAGGGAGGAAGGUAGUGUAGUUAACACCUGCAUUAUUUGACGUUACCUACAGAAGAAGCACCGGCUAACUCCGUGCCAGCAGCCGCGGUAAUACGGAGGGGUGCGAGCGUUAAUCGGAAUUACUGGGCGUAAAGCGCAUGCAGGCGGCCUGUUAAGUCAGAUGUGAAAGCCCGGGGGCUUAACCUCGGAAUUGCAUUUGAAACUGGCAGGCUAGAGUCUUGUAGAGGGGGUAGAAGUUUCAGGUGUAGCGGUGAAAUGCGUAGAGAUCUGAAGGAAUACCAGUGGCGAAGGCGGCCCCCUGGACAAAGACUGACGCUCAGAUGCGAAAGCGUGGGGAGCGAAACAGGAUUAGAUACCCUGGUA